rnacentral:rRNA from 1 species
CGAAAGCCUGACGGAGCAACGCCGCGUGAGGGAGGAAGGCCCUUGGGUUGUAAACCUCUUUUCUGGGGGAAGAAGUAAUGACGGUACCCCAGGAAUAAGCAUCGGCUAACUCCGUGCCAGCAGCCGCGGUAAUACGGAGGAUGCAAGCGUUAUCCGGAAUCAUUGGGCGUAAAGCGUCCGCAGGUGGCUAUUCAAGUCUGCUGUCAAAGCAUGGAGCUUAACUCCAUAGAGGCAGUGGAAACUGAAAGGCUAGAGGCCGGUAGGGGUAGUGGGAAUUCCCAGUGUAGCGGUGAAAUGCGUAGAGAUUGGGAAGAACAUCGGUGGCGAAAGCGCACUACUGGGCAGGACCUGACACUGAGGGACGAAAGCUAGGGGAGCAAAAGGGAUUAGAUACCCCUGUAGUCCUAGCCGUAAAC